rnacentral:misc_RNA from 1 species
UACGGAGGAUCCAAGCGUUAUCCGGAAUCAUUGGGUUUAAAGGGUGCGUAGGCGGCUAAUUAAGUCAGUGGUGAAAGCCUGUAGCUCAACUAUAGAACUGCCAUUGAAACUGUUGUCCUUGAGUCAUUAUGAAGUGGUUAGAAUAUGUAGUGUAGCGGUGAAAUGCAUAGAUAUUACAUAGAAUACCGAUUGCGAAGGCAGAUCACUAAUAAUAUAUUGACGCUGAUGGACGAAAGCGUAGGUAGCGAACAGG